rfam:Bombyx mori DNA, contig: Bm_scaf1_contig380, strain: p50T/Dazao, build 2, whole genome shotgun sequence.
UUAACUCAAAUUUGUAUGUAGUUGGAAGGUUUGCUUACAUUUGCCCGUAGGGGCGCUCUUCCAACUGCAUACAAAUUUGAGUUA